rnacentral:rRNA from 1 species
GACGAAGGGGGCUAGCGUUGUUCGGAAUUACUGGGCGUAAAGCGAGUGUAGGUGGUUGUCAUAGUCAGGUGUGAAAGCCUUGAGCUCAACUCAAGAAAUGCACUUGAAACUGUUCGGCUCGAGUCCGGGAGAGGGUAGUGGAAUUCCCAGUGUAGCGGUGAAAUGCGUAGAUAUUGGGAGGAACACCGGUGGCGAAGGCGGCUACCUGGACCGGUACUGACGCUGAGGCGCGAAAGCUAGGGUAGCAAACAGG